rnacentral:rRNA from 1 species
GAUGAACGCUGGCGGCGUGCUUAAUACAUGCAAGUCGAGCGAACGGACGAGAAGCUUGCUUCUCUGAUGUUAGCGGCGGACGGGUGAGUAACACGUGGAUAACCUACCUAUAAGACUGGGAUAACUUCGGGAAACCGUAGCUAAUACCGGAUAAUAUUUUGAACCGCAUGGUUCAAAAGUGAAAGACGGUCUUGCUGUCACUUAUAGAUGGAUCCGCGCUGCAUUAGCUAGUUGGUAAGGUAACGGCUUACCAAGGCAACGAUGCAUAGCCGACCUGAGAGGGUGAUCGGCCACACUGGAACUGAGACACGGUCCAGACUCCUACGGGAGGCAGCAGUAGGGAAUCUUCCGCAAUGGGCGAAAGCCUGACGGAGCAACGCCGCGUGAGUGAUGAAGGUCUUCGGAUCGUAAAACUCUGUUAUUAGGGAAGAACAUAUGUGUAAGUAACUGUGCACAUCUUGACGGUACCUAAUCAGAAAGCCACGGCUAACUACGUG